AGCAGCCGCGGUAAUUCCAGCUCCAAUAGCGUAUAUUAAAGUUGUUGCAGUUAAAAAGCUCGUAGUUGAAUUUCGGGAUCAGUUGGUCGGUCGUGCCUCGGUACGUACUGGUCAAAUUGAUUCCUACCUUCUGACGAACCACGAUGUCAUUAAUUUGGUGUCGCGGGAAAUCAGGACUGUUACUUUGAAAAAAUUAGAGUGUUUAAAGCAGGCUCGCGCUUGAAUACAUUAGCAUGGAAUAAUGAAAUAGGACGUUUGAUUCUAUUUUGUUGGUUUCUAGGAUCGACGUAAUGAUUAAUAGGGAUAGUUGGGGGCAUUAGUAUUCAAUUGUCAGAGGUGAAAUUCUUGGAUUUAUUGAAGACUAACUACUGCGAAAGCAUUUGCCAAGGAUGUUUUCAUUAAUCAAGAACGAAAGUUAGGGGAUCGAAGACGAUCAGAUACCGUCGUAGUCUUAACCAUAAACUAUGCCGACUAGGGAUCGGAUGAUGUUAAUUUUUAAUGAUCAUUCGGCGCCUUA
rnacentral:rRNA from 1 species